AUACCUGUACACAGCGAUGUUCCUCAGUAAUGCUGGUAGCGAUCACGAUGGCAGGUCAACCAACCAGAAAGUGUGUCAUCUGCGAUAUGUCGAUACCUGUACACAGCGGUGUUCCUCAGUAAGGCUGGUAGCGAUCACGAUGGCAGGACUACGCAAGCUUAAGACAUCGCUCGUAAACCCACAGCCAGGACGAUUACCAAUUCUCGGCCUGAUCCUGACCUUGACGAUAUGCUUACUAGGGACUUACGUAAUUGGAACAUUUUACGUUACUUUUAUUGUAGAUAAAAACAUCAAAGGCCUUGACCUUCCGCGUACUCUGCCUAGACGUGAUGUAUUGCAGUCAGAUGUACUGUUGGUCAGGGAACAAUCCCAACCUGUGUACGUCAUACCAAAAUAUGCACUAGUUGUUGAGAAGGCUCAAAAUGUUGUCUACAAGCCCGUCAACGUUUCCAUCCAGAAGAAGUCUGUCCAGAAGCUGCCGUUGAAGAAACUCACCUGGCUUAACCCCCCUGGGUGGAUGAAGGUCGAGCCGUACACAGAUUUCACUCAGUGCGUUGUCAGUGACUGUGUCAUCUCCUUCAACAGGAGCGACGUUGAUGCUGCUGACUUGGUCCUGGUGGAAGGGAACGCUAUCCCAGACGCUGAGACUCCAACAAAUAACCCUGAUCAGAUCUGGGUGUUCUACACAGCAGAGACGGUCCAACAGUUCUACAACCCGAGAAGCUAUAAACGGAAGGACUGGAUUGGUAGAUUCAACUGGACAAUGACCUACAGGCUAGACUCGGACGUCGUCUCAACGUACUCCAGACUCAUCCUGAAAGAAGACUUCGUAAACAACGCUAACUAUACCGACAUCGUCCACAAGAAGACCAGGUCUGUCCUGUGGUUCGUCAGUCACUGUGAGACUCAGAGUAAACGGAAGGAAUACGUUGAGGAACUGAGGAAGUACAUAGAUGUUGAUAUUUACGGUCACUGUGGCAAUCUGACAUGUAAAGGACAAGAGUGUGACAAGGUGUGGAGUAAAUAUUGGUUUUAUUUGUCUUUUGAAAACUCAAUGUGUAAGGAUUACGUAACGGAAAAGUUUUUCAACACAUUUAAUAAGAACAUCGUUCCAGUGGUUCGAGGGGGUGCAGAUUACCGUACUCUGUUCCCUCCAGACUUGUACAUCAACACAGCAGACUUCUCCAGUCCCAAAGCUCUGGCAGAUCAUCUGAAGGCUCUGCAGCAAGACCUACCUGGCUAUACUAAAAUCCUCAGGAACAUGGCCAAGUACAAACAAGGGGGGAACUUCCUGAAGGGUAUUCCAUGGAUAUGUGACACUUGUGCCAAGCUGCACCAGCCUUUGACACAGCUUGCACACCCAUGUCGUGUGCUGGGACCUGGUGCUGUGGUUCGCUUGAUCCUUCUGCUCAUUGUUGGUCUUGUGGUUGUGAUACUAGUGGGCCAAUCAAAAGAUUCUAUUGCAGAUAAAAGAAACAUAUCAAGUCGUACACCUACAACAACUACAACAAUAAAACCAAGGGAGUUGUUUCCAGGAGGUGUGAAGAAUGAAUCAGAGUUCUUCAGAGUUGCAUAUGAAUCUGAAUGGGGGGUACCCAACCAUGCACUGGUCGUUGAGAAGGUGAGGAAAGUAGUCUACAAACCGAUCAUCGAGUCCGUGGAGAUAAAAUCGGUUAAAAAGCGGCCCUUGAAGAAACUUGCUUGGCUAAAUAGACCAACCUGGAUGAACGUGAAACCAUACAUGGAUUUUUCGGGAUGUGCCGUCAGCGAUUGUGUUGUGUCCCUCAACAGAAGUGAUGUUCCAGCAGCUGAUGCUGUGUUGGUUCACAUCGACCUACUCAAGGACACUGACGUUCCCAAUAACAACCCGGACCAGAUAUGGGUGUUCUACACAGCCGAGACGAUCUACCAGUUCUACAACCCUAGAGCCAUCAAACGGGCGGACUGGAUUGGAAGAUUCAACUGGACGUUAAGCUUCCGACUGGACUCAGACGUCGUCUCGACAUACUCCAGACUCAUCCUGAAAGAAGACUUCGUUGACAACGCUAACUACACCGACAUCGUCCACAAGAAGACCAGGUCUGUCCUGUGGUUCGUCAGUCACUGUGAGACUCAGAGUAAACGGAAGGAAUACGUUGAGGAACUGAGGAAGUACAUAGAUGUUGAUAUUUACGGUCACUGUGGCAACCUGAAGUGUAAAGGACAAGAGUGUGACACGUUGUGGAGUAAAUAUUGGUUUCAUUUGUCUUUUGAAAACUCAAUGUGUAAGGAUUACGUAACGGAAAAGUAUUAUAAAACAUUUGACAAGAACAUCGUUCCAGUGGUUCGAGGGGGUGCAGAUUACCGUACUCUGUUUCCUCCAGAUUUGAACAUUAACACAGCAGACUUCUCCAGUCCCAAAGCUCUGGCAGAUCAUCUGAAGGCUCUGCAGCAAGACCUACCUGGCUAUACUAAAAUCCUCAGGAACAUGGCCAAGUACAAACAAGGGGGGAACUUCCUGAAGGGUAUUCCAUGGAUAUGUGAUAUGUGUGCCAAGUUGCACCAACCACUGGUGAGAAAGACAUACAGGAAUAUUUACCAGUGGUGGACUGAUGGGAUAUGCCACGAUCCGAAGGACUACUAGAGUCGACACUGGUCUUGUACUUCCUGUCUCCCACGCAAUGGUUAAGUCAGUACACGCUGACGAGGUGCUUGUCUUCCGUAAACCAACAUGAACAGUUUCUGAAGUAGAGUCGUGUAUGUCACAUCCAUAACGUGGAUGAAUUCAGAUGUCUAGAGCAGUUGCACCUGUGUGAUCUCAUGAGAGUCUAUGUCAUU
rnacentral:misc_RNA from 1 species